GGGUUGUGAGGUUAAGCGACUAAGCGUACACGGUGGAUGCCCUGGCAGUCAGAGGCGAUGAAGGACGUGCUAAUCUGCGAUAAGCGUCGGUAAGGUGAUAUGAACCGUUAUAACCGGCGAUUUCCGAAUGGGGAAACCCAGUGUGUUUCGACACACUAUCAUUAACUGAAUCCAUAGGUUAAUGAGGCGAACCGGGGGAACUGAAACAUCUAAGUACCCCGAGGAAAAGAAAUCAACCGAGAUUCCCCCAGUAGCGGCGAGCGAACGGGGAGCAGCCCAGAGCCUGAAUCAGUAUGUGUGUUAGUGGAAGCGUCUGGAAAGGCGCGCGAUACAGGGUGACAGCCCCGUACACAAAAAUGCACAUGCUGUGAGCUCGAUGAGUAGGGCGGGACACGUGGUAUCCUGUCUGAAUAUGGGGGGACCAUCCUCCAAGGCUAAAUACUCCUGACUGACCGAUAGUGAACCAGUACCGUGAGGGAAAGGCGAAAAGAACCCCGGCGAGGGGAGUGAAAAAGAACCUGAAACCGUGUACGUACAAGCAGUGGGAGCACGCUUAGGCGUGUGACUGCGUACCUUUUGUAUAAUGGGUCAGCGACUUAUAUUCUGUAGCAAGGUUAACCGAAUAGGGGAGCCGAAGGGAAACCGAGUCUUAACUGGGCGUUAAGUUGCAGGGUAUAGACCCGAAA
rnacentral:rRNA from 1 species